GUUCCUGUUUGCUUUUGUUAGGGACACUGAGCCCCCCUCUUACCGGGAUCAUCUGUCUGCCUGGUGGACAAGCUGCGUCCUGCCCACUGCACCCAAUUCACAUCGAAAUUUACUCAAAUACGACAGUGAAUUUCAGGAGGAAGGAUUGCUGGAAGAGAUCAGUGGGACCCACUGAGUGGGCAGAGAAAAAUAGCCAGGCCAGUGAAGAUGGAUGGGUGACAGUCCCAUCGGUCCCAGCGAUUCAGCACUCAAUCACCACGGA
rnacentral:lncRNA from 1 species